rnacentral:rRNA from 1 species
GAUGAACGCUGGCGGCGUGCCUAAUACAUGCAAGUCGAGCGAACGGACGAGAAGCUUGCUUUUCUGAUGUUAGCGGCGGACGGGUGAGUAACACGUGUAUAACCUACCUAUAAGACUGGGAUAACUUCGGGAAACCGGAGCUAAUACCGGAUAAUAUUUUGAACCGCAUGGUUCAAAAGUGAAAGACGGUCUUGCUGUCACUUAUAGAUGGAUCCGCGCUGCAUUAGCUAGUUGGUAAGGUAACGGCUUACCAAGGCAACGAUGCAUAGCCGACCUGAGAGGGGGAUCGGCCACCCGGGAACUGAGACACGGUCCAGACUCCUACGGGAGGCAGCAGUAGGGAAUCGUCCGCAAUGGGCGAAAGCAUGACGGAGCAACGCCGCGUGAGUGAUGAAGGUCUUCGGAUCGUAAAACUCUGUUAUUAGGGAAGAACAGAUGUGUAAGUAACUGUGCACAUCUUGACGGUACCUAAUCAGAAAGCCACGGCUAACUACGUG